GGGCCGCGGCUCUUGAUUGUCCAAACGCAAUUCUCGAGUCUCUGGCUCCGGCCGAGAGUUGAGUCUGGACGUCCCGAGCCGCCGCCC
ensembl:miRNA